AUGUGGAGCUACCAUUUGUUUUGGGGGCACCACUUGCGAAAAGAGAUAAAGGAAGACGAAGGAAAUGGAGGAUCAAAGGAUGUCUUGAAGGUGGCCAGAAGAAAAAAGGUGCCAAUGAUGCUCCCAAGGAUGAUAGCACCGCUCCCACCAAUUCUAAGGGGGAAAAUGAUUAGAGGGCCAGUGACUUGCAAGAAAUGUGGCAAAAAGGGUCAUAGGCAAGCUAGUUACAAGUGUCCACUCAAUGGAACCAAAAAAAGGCAAACGAAGCCUAUAAAGAACAGUACAAAAGCUAGGCCAGCUGAACCUAGCACCCCACAAAGACCUACUAGAGAACAAAUAUUGCUGGACAGUCCAAGCAUGGUCGCUAGAAGGGAAAACAAAUGA
rnacentral:rRNA from 1 species